rnacentral:tRNA from 1 species
GGGCUCGUAGCUCAGCAUGGAAGAGCAGCUGACUCUUAAUCAGUUGGUCGAGAGUUCAAAUCUCUCCGAGCCCA